UACGUAGGUGGCAAGCGUUGUUCGGAAUUACUGGGCGUAAAGCGCGUGUAGGCGGCUCUUCAAGUCAGGCGUGAAAGCCCCGGGCUUAACUCGGGAACUGCGCUUGAUACUGUCGAGCUAGAGUGUGGAAGGGGCGAUUGGAAUUCCGUGUGUAGCGGUGAAAUGCGUAGAUAUACGGAGGAACACUAGAGGCGAAGGCGGAUCGCUGGGCCAACACUGACGCUGAGACGCGAGAGCUAGGGGAGCAAACGGG
rnacentral:rRNA from 1 species